UUUGUUAAUUUCAUUUACUAUACAAGGUGGGGGCCUACUUAAAUCAGAGUCUCAAUUUCUCUGAUCAAUCAAGGAGUUUCAUUUUCUAAGCAGUCAUAGUGCCAAAACAUGAUGAUAUUAUGUAAAAGGAAAUAGAAAACAUGAAUACAAAGGGAGUAUAUAUGGACUAUGGACACCUGAAAAAUACAAGAACACCAUUCAAAAGGGCACAAGUAAAAAACGGUCAGGAUGUUCAAAACUAAACCAAAGGCCACGUUUUAGGAUGAUUCUGUAAUUAAUGGGAGCGCGCACAUUAUAAUCAUCUAUAUUUUAUCCUGUUAUAAGAAUCAUUCAUGCAAAAUAUCAUGACAAGGCAAAACGAAUAGAUGAGCAAAGUGAUGUUUUUGAAACUGAAGUUGCUAAUGAAGCAGCAGACCAUGCAUGUUGCAGAUUUAGCAUCACGCAGGUGUGCCUUGCGGAAUGCAGCGGGGCUUCUCCCCUAACCUCAAGUUCUUAGUUUGAUAAUAAGGGCUGGAUGCCCAGCUUUCUGUUUCAUUUUCGUUCUUUGCUUCCAAGUCUUUUGGCAUCUGAUUUGUUUCUGUUUUUGUUGUAAUAGUUCCAACCAAAAACAAAAAAGUUGAAAGCACUAUCAGGACAAGCACUUUAGCCAACGAAAAUUUUUCGUCGGCCUGUCAGCUUAAUUCGUCGGCUAAGAUUUCGUCGGGAAAAGCUCGUCUGUGGUGACUUUAGCCGACGACACACGUAUAAGUCGUCGGCUAUAGUCCAGACUUUAGCCGACGACAUUAUUUCGUCGGCUAUAGUCCAGACUUUAGCCGACGACAUUAUUUCGUCGGCUAAAGUCCAGNNNN
rnacentral:lncRNA from 1 species